AUUGCUUCUCGGCCUCUUGGCUAAGAUCAAGUGUAGUAUCUGUUCAUAUCCGUUUAAUAUCUGAUACGUCCUCUAUCCAAGGACAAUAUAUUAAAUGGAUUUUUGGAAUUAGGAGAUGGAAUAGGGCCUUGCUCUGUCCACUCCAUGCAUCAACCUGGUAUUGCAGUACCUCCAGGAAUGAUGCUCCCCUU
rnacentral:snRNA from 1 species